GACGAAGUGUCCGAGUGGUUUAAGGAGUGAGACUUGAAAUCUCUUGAUAUCUCAUGGCUUCGGCCGCGCAGGUUCGAACCCUGUCUUCGUCG
rnacentral:tRNA from 2 species